CAGGCUUAACACAUGCAAGUCGAGGGGCAGCAUGGUCUUAGCUUGCUAAGGCCGAUGGCGACCGGCGCACGGGUGAGUAACACGUAUCCAACCUGCCGUCUACUCUUGGACAGCCUUCUGAAAGGAAGAUUAAUACAAGAUGGCAUCAUGAGUCCGCAUGUUCACAUGAUUAAAGGUAUUCCGGUAGACGAUGGGGAUGCGUUCCAUUAGAUAGUAGGCGGGGUAACGGCCCACCUAGUCUUCGAUGGAUAGGGGUUCUGAGAGGAAGGUCCCCCACAUUGGAACUGAGACACGGUCCAAACUCCUACGGGAGGCAGCAGUGAGGAAUAUUGGUCAAUGGGCGAGAGCCUGAACCAGCCAAGUAGCGUGAAGGAUGACUGCCCUAUGGGUUGUAAACUUCUUUUAUAAAGGAAUAAAGUCGGGUAUGCAUACCCGUUUGCAUGUACUUUAUGAAUAAGGAUCGGCUAACUCCGUGCCAGCAGCCGCGGUAAUACGGAGGAUCCGAGCGUUAUCCGGAUUUAUUGGGUUUAAAGGGAGCGUAGAUGGAUGUUUAAGUCAGUUGUGAAAGUUUGCGGCUCAACCGUAAAAUUGCAGUUGAUACUGGAUAUCUUGAGUGCAGUUGAGGCAGGCGGAAUUCGUGGUGUAGCGGUGAAAUGCUUAGAUAUCACGAAGAACUCCGAUUGCGAAGGCAGCCUGCUAAGCUGCAACUGACAUUGAGGCUCGAAAGUGUGGGUAUCAAACAGGAUUAGAUACCCUGGUAGUCCACACGGUAAACGAUGAAUACUCGCUGUUUGCGAUAUACGGCAAGCGGCCAAGCGAAAGCGUUAAGUAUUCCACCUGGGGAGUACGCCGGCAACGGUGAAACUCAAAGAAAUUGACGGGGGCCCGCACAAGCGGAGGAACAUGUGGUUUAAUUCGAUGAUACGCGAGGAACCUUACCCGGGCUUAAAUUGCAGAUGAAUUACGGUGAAAGCCGUAAGCCGCAAGGCAUCUGUGAAGGUGCUGCAUGGUUGUCGUCAGCUCGUGCCGUGAGGUGUCGGCUUAAGUGCCAUAACGAGCGCAACCCUUGUUGUCAGUUACUAACAGGUUCCGCUGAGGACUCUGACAAGACUGCCAUCGUAAGAUGUGAGGAAGGUGGGGAUGACGUCAAAUCAGCACGGCCCUUACGUCCGGGGCUACACACGUGUUACAAUGGGGGGUACAGAGGGCCGCUACCACGCGAGUGGAUGCCAAUCCCCAAAACCUCUCUCAGUUCGGACUGGAGUCUGCAACCCGACUCCACGAAGCUGGAUUCGCUAGUAAUCGCGCAUCAGCCACGGCGCGGUGAAUACGUUCCCGGGCCUUGUACACACCGCCCGUCAAGCCAUGGGAGCCGGGGGUGCCUGAAGUGCGUAACCGCGAGGAGCGCCCUAGGGUAAAACUGGUGACUGGGG
rnacentral:rRNA from 1 species